AAAUGAAUAAACUAAUUAGAUUAAUUAAAAUAUGUGAUGUGAACCUUUCGCGGGGCCUCAAUUCUCUCCCUAACGGGUUACAACUAAUGGAAUGGCACCAAUAUUCUUGGCGGAACAUACCGGAGAGUUUUUAACCAAUCAAUCUUGUUGAACUCAUUAUGCAUCGCAGCAGCUUUCUGCAAUUACCAGCGGCUUUUCCUAAUUUAAAAAAAUUGAAA